rnacentral:rRNA from 1 species
CGCUCCCUGGGUAAAAAUAUAGGGAGUCGGACCUGCCCGGUGAUCAGAUUUUUAACGGCCGCGGUAUUUUGACUGUGCUAAGGUAGCGUAAUCAUUUGCCUUAUAAUUGAGGGCUUGUAUGAAUGGUUUGACGAAAGUUUAGCUGUCUCUACUUAAUUUUUUAGAAUUUGACUUUUAGGUGAAGAGGCCUAAAUAUAAUUAGAGGACGAGAAGACCCUAUCGAGCUUAUGACGAUUAUGGAUGGUAUUAUCGAAGUGUCUUUAAUUGGGGCGAUUAAGGAACAUAAAAAGCUUCUUUAUAUUAAUGUAUUUGCAUAUGUUGAUCCACUAAGUAGUGAUUAAAGGAUAAAGUUACCGUAGGGAUAACAGUGUUAUCUUUCUUGAGAGUUCUUAUUAAAAGAAAGGUUUGCUACCUCGAUGUUGGACUAAAGUAUCCUGGAGAUGCAGAAGUCUUUAAGGGUUGGUCUGUUCGACCAUUAAAACUUUACGU